UACGGGGGGGCAAGCGUUGUUCGGAAUUACUGGGUACGUAAAGGGCUCGUAGGUGGCCAACUAAGUCAGACGUGAAAUCCCGUCGGCCUUAACCGGGGAACUGCGUCUGAUACUGGAUGGCUUGAGUUUGGGAGAGGGAUGCGGAAUUCCAGGUGUAGCGGUGAAAUGCGUAGAUAUCUGGAGGAACACCGGUGGCGAAGGCGGCAUCCUGGACCAAUACUGACACAUGAGGAGCGGAAAGC
rnacentral:rRNA from 1 species